rnacentral:rRNA from 1 species
AACGGUCGCGAUGAGA